UACAGAGGUCCCAAGCGUUGUUCGGAUUCACUGGGCGUAAAGGGUGCGUAGGUGGCCAGGUAAGUUCGGUGUGAAAGCUCGGAGCUUAACUCCGAAAUGUCAUUGAAUACUAUCUGGCUAGAGGGUCGGAGGGGAGACUGGAAUUCUCGGUGUAGCAGUGAAAUGCGUAGAUAUCGAGAGGAACACCAGUGGCGAAGGCGAGUCUCUGGACGACACCUGACACUGAGGCACGAAAGCUAGGGGAGCAAACCGGG
rnacentral:rRNA from 1 species